UACGAAGGGGGCGAGCGUUAUUCGGAAUUAUUGGGCGUAAAGGGCGCGUAGGCGGCUGAACAAGUCAAAGGUGAAAUCCCUCGGCUCAACUGAGGAACUGCCUUUGAAACUGUUCGGCUUGAGGCCGGGAGGGGGUAGCGGAAUUCCCAGUGUAGCGGUGAAAUGCGUAGAUAUUGGGAGGAACACCAGUGGCGAAGGCGGCUACCUGGACCGGUUCUGACGCUGAGGCGCGAAAGCGUGGGUAGCAAACAGG
rnacentral:rRNA from 1 species